GCGCCCCUAGCUCAAUUGGAUAGAGCAUCUGACUACGGAUCAGAAGGUUGGAGGUUCAAAUCCUCCGGGGCGCGCCA
rnacentral:tRNA from 1 species